GAGAAAGUCAUAGAGGUUAUGGGACUGGCUUGAAACCAGUUUUUGGAGGCGCGAUUCCUUCCUUUUUUG
rnacentral:tRNA from 1 species